UACUACAUGCAGUAUAUUCCACUGAAGAAGUCACUAUAAAGUUGAUGUUUGGUGUUAUUGAUGAGCAAAAAUAAUGCUUUUUUUAAGGUUCUCAGCAGGAAACAGAAGAAACUGACCUGGCAAAUGUGGAGUCAUUACAGAGAGCUCUUCAUCACCUGGACAGACUGAAAACACUUGUGGACGACAUGAACGAGAGGAAGGCCAGAGCAGAGGAUGAUGGGACAGAUUGUACAGACACUCCUGCAGCUAAUGUCACAGACUGGGCCAGAAUCAAUAAACGGUUGUGAAUCAGAAA